rnacentral:rRNA from 1 species
AGCGAACGCUGGCGGCGUGCUUAACACAUGCAAGUCGAGCGAGAAAGAGGACUUCGGUCCUUGAGUAAAGCGGCGAACGGGUGAGUAACACGUGGAUAAUCUGUCCUUGAAGCGGGGAUAACUCAGCGAAAGCUGGGCUAAUACCGGAUAAGACCACGGAAGGCGACUUCUGAGGUUAAAGGGAGCUCUCUCCGGAGAGCGCUCGUUUGAGGAGGAGUCCGCGUCCUAUCAGCUUGUUGGUGGGGUAAAAGCCUACCAAGGCGAAGACGGGUAGCUGGUCUGAGAGGAUGAUCAGCCACACAGGGACUGAGACACGGCCCUGACUCCUACGGGAGGCAGCAGUGGGGAAUAUUGGACAAUGGGGGAAACCCUGAUCCAGCGACGCCGCGUGGGUGAUGAAGGCUUUCGGGUCGUAAAGCCCUGUCAGGAGGAAAGAAUGCUCCUAUGACGAAUACUCAUAGGAAGUGACGGUACCUCCAAAGGAAGCACCGGCCAACUCCGUGCCAGCAGCCGCGGUAAGACGGAGGGUGCAAGCGUUGCUCGGAAUUACUGGGCGUAAAGGGUGCGUAGGCGGCCUUUUAAGUCUGGCGUGAAAGCCCAGGGCUCAGCCCUGGAAGUGCGCUAGAAACUGGAGGGCUAGAGUAUCGGAUGAGAGUUCCC